rnacentral:rRNA from 1 species
AGUGAACGCUGGCGGUAGGCCUAACACAUGCAAGUCGAACGGCAGCACAGAGGAGCUUGCUCCUUGGGUGGCGAGUGGCGGACGGGUGAGGAAUACAUCGGAAUCUACUUUGUCGUGGGGGAUAACGUAGGGAAACUUACGCUAAUACCGCAUACGACCUACGGGUGAAAGCAGGGGAUCUUCGGACCUUGCGCGAUUGAAUGAGCCGAUGUCGGAUUAGCUAGUUGGCGGGGUAAAGGCCCACCAAGGCGACGAUCCGUAGCUGGUCUGAGAGGAUGAUCAGCCACACUGGAACUGAGACACGGUCCAGACUCCUACGGGAGGCAGCAGUGGGGAAUAUUGGACAAUGGGCGCAAGCCUGAUCCAGCCAUACCGCGUGGGUGAAGAAGGCCUUCGGGUUGUAAAGCCCUUUUGUUGGGAAAGAAAUCCAGCCGGCUAAUACCUGGUUGGGAUGACGGUACCCAAAGAAUAAGCACCGGCUAACUUCGUGCCAGCAGCCGCGGUAAUACGAAGGGUGCAAGCGUUACUCGGAAUUACUGGGCGUAAAGCGUGCGUAGGUGGUUAUUUAAGUCCGUUGUGAAAGCCCUGGGCUCAACCUGGGAACUGCAGUGGAUACUGGAUGACUAGAAUGUGGUAGAGGGUAGCGGAAUUUCUGGUGUAGCAGGAAAUGCGUAGAGAUCAGGAGGAACAUCCCUGGGCGAAUGCAGUUACCUUGGACCACAUUUGACACUGGUGGGCGAUAGCGGGGGGGAGCAACAUU